rnacentral:rRNA from 1 species
GUGGGGAAUCUUCCGCAAUGGACGAAAGUCUGACGGAGCAACGCCGCGUGAGUGAUGAAGGUCUUCGGAUUGUAAAGCUCUGUUAAUCGGGACGAAAGAGCCUAGUGUGAAUAAUGCUAGGAAGUGACGGUACCGGAAUAGAAAGCCACGGCUAACUACGUGCCAGCAGCCGCGGUAAUACGUAGGUGGCAAGCGUUGUCCGGAAUUAUUGGGCGUAAAGCGCGCGCAGGCGGAUCUGCCAGUCUGUCUUAAAAGUUCGGGGCUUAACCCCGGGAUGGGAUGGAAACUACAGAUCUAGAGUAUCGGAGAGGAAAGUGGAAUUCCUAGUGUAGCGGUGAAAUGCGUAGAUAUUAGGAAGAACACCAGUGGCGAAGGCGACUUUCUGGACGAAAACUGACGCUGAGGCGCGAAAGCCAGGGGAGCGAACGGGAUUAGAUACCCCGGUAGUCC